CGGACGGGUGAGUAAUGUCUGGGAAACUGCCUGAUGGAGGGGGAUAACUACUGGAAACGAUAGCUAAUACCGCAUAACGUCGCAAGACCAAAGAGGGGGACCUUAGGGCCUCUUGCCAUCGGAUGUGCCCAGAUGGGAUUAGCUAGUAGGUGGGGUAACGGCUCACCUAGGCGACGAUCCCUAGCUGGUCUGAGAGGAUGACCAGCCACAUUGGGACUGAGACACGGCCCAG
rnacentral:rRNA from 1 species